GGUCCCUCCCCGUCCCUGGGCUCCUCUGCAGUCCCCCUCGGCCUCCUCAACGCAGCUUUCCCAGCAGCUUAGGAUAUCGGUUUUUGUUGGACUUGAAAUUGGGAGUUGAGGGCGGCCUGGAGGCGCGCGGGAAGGAGAUUUGGGGUGCGGCUGCUUCAUAAAGAUGUUGCCUUUUACCCCAGCAGUCCCCCGCCCCCUACGCGGGGUGGUGGCAGGAAACCGGUUCCUGAGUUUUCCUUCUUUCUUUUCCUCGACACGACCUCCCCACCAGUGUGUUUCUGUUUAUCCUCCUCGCCCGGGGGCUGGGUCCCUGGCGAAGCCUCGUUUUCACCCACCCACCCCCAAGCCAGAGCUCACCAGUGAUGUAAUGCGGGACCCGCGCGGGGAGGGGAAACGGCAGCCUCAACCGCCUGGCAGCGGCGGUUUCUUCUCUUCGUGAAAAUCGUGAUCUCAUCUCUCCGUCCAAGGGCGAAAAAACAGCCAUCACCAGGCCAUUCACGCUUUGUGCUUUUGUUAGCAGAGCCCAGGCAGCCCUGCAGCCCACAUCUAGGAUUCUCUGCAGAAGACAGCAAGAUGCCCCCAGGGAAUGUUUGUGAAAAAGGAUGACUGGAUGGGAAGCAAGCUGAAGAAAAAGAGGGAAAGAAAGAGAGAAAUCAGUAAAUCACCACACAAGAGGUGGAGAAGAGGACUUAUAAAUAUUGUUUCUAUGACAUUUGAAAAUAAAUGUUUUACUCCAUGCUAAUAGUGAAUGUGGUGUCUUCAGUUUGAAGGGCUUUAAGUGAAGCUCAUUAAAAC
rnacentral:lncRNA from 1 species